UUACUCAGUUUACAUUAGUUUUUGGGAUGAUUUCUGUUGUGUUCAAUUGGAAAUGAGAUCUAAAAGUGUUCAGAAUGCUUAAACUCACGAUUAAUAUUCGCUUGAAACUUGAAAAAAACUCAAAUAAAUCGGGGAAUCCCUGAAUCCCAUUCGAAAACCUUUAAGUAUCUGGAUUUUCGGUUUCUGAGAAAUAUGGAUCUAGUGAAGGGACAGAUCACCUUUACCUGGCCACCCGAAGAAAUUAAAAGGGUUGAAACUGUCUGAAAAGACCUCUUUCGAUUUUAACUGUCCUCUGAGUUUUUGUGUUUCUCAAAUCAUUGUUGUCCCCAUCAACAUCAGUACUGUUUGCAGUCACGCAAAAUUGGUAAAUUUCAGAAUCUUGUUAAAACGAUGGUUGUAACAAGUUGCUAAAGGAUGCUCCAAUGAGCAGAACAAAAAUGAGACAAAGAGUUUCCACAGGUUUCCUUUUAAACGCCCAGAUAUUUUGGAACUUUGGAUUACUGCUGUAGGAAGGGAACAUUGGUAUCCCUCAAAGUAUAGUAGAAUAUGUGAAGAUUACCUUCACAAUCCAAGUUAUACGAGAAAAAUA